rnacentral:rRNA from 1 species
GGAUUGCCCUAGUAACGGCGAGUGAAGCGGCAACAGCUCAAAUUUGAAAUCUGGCUCCUCUGGGGUCCGAGUUGUAAUUUGUAGAGGGUGCUUUGGCGUUGGCCAUGGUCUAAGUUCCUUGGAACAGGGCGUCACAGAGGGUGAGAAUCCCGUACGUGGCCUUCGGCCUUCGCCAUGUAAAGCCCCUUCGACGAGUCGAGUUGUUUGGGAAUGCAGCUCUAAAUGGGAGGUAAAUUUCUUCUAAAGCUAAAUAUUGGCCAGAGACCGAUAGCGCACAAGUAGAGUGAUCGAAAGAUGAAAAGCACUUUGGAAAGAGAGUCAAAAAGCACGUGAAAUUGUUGAAAGGGAAGCGCUUGCAGCCAGACUUGCUCGUAGUUGCUCAUCCCGGCUUCGGCCUGGUGCACUCUUCUGCGGGCAGGCCAGCAUCAGUUCGGGCGGUCGGAUAAAGGUCCCGGGAAUGUGGCUCUCUUCGGGGAGUGUUAUAGCCCGGGGCGCAAUGCGGCCAGCCCGGACUGAGGUCCGCGCAUCUGCUAGGAUGCUGGCGUAAUGGCUGUAAGCGGCCCGUCUUGAAACACGGACCAAGGAGUCUAACAUCUAUGCGAGUGUUUGGGUGUCAAGCCCGAGCGCGUAAUGAAAGUGAACGGAGGUGGGAACCCGCAAGGGCGCACCAUCGACCGAUCCUGAUGUCUUCGGAUGGAUUUGAGUAAGAGCAUAGCUGUUGGGACCCGAAAGAUGGUGAACUAUGCCUGAAUAGGGUGAAGCCAGAGGAAACUCUGGUGGAGGCUCGCAGCGGUUCUGACGUGCAAAUCGAUCGUC